GGGAUUGUGGCUCAGUGGUAGAGCACUUGCCUAGCACACAUGAGGCUCUGGGUUCAAUCCUCAGCACCA
rnacentral:tRNA from 1 species